UGAGAGUUCUGUUCUGCUGAAUUUGAAGAAGCGGUUUCAUCGGGAUUCAAUUUAUACGUAUAUUGGUGAUAUGCUCCUGUCCAUCAACCCCUUCAAGCCUCUCAGCAUCUACACUGAGGAUCUGAGACAGCAGUACCAGGGUAAAGAGAAGCACAAUAAUCCACCUCAUAUACAGUAUAUGCCACAGCAGAUGCUGCCUUUUGCCAAUCUCAGAAUACCACCCAAGAGCA